rnacentral:rRNA from 1 species
AUUGAACGCUGGCGGAAUGCUUUACACAUGCAAGUCGAACGGCAGCACGGGUGCUUGCACCUGGUGGCGAGUGGCGAACGGGUGAGUAAUAUAUCGGAACGUACCCAGUAAUGGGGGAUAACUAACCGAAAGGUUAGCUAAUACCGCAUACGCCCUGAGGUAGAAAGUGGGGGACCUUCGGGCCUCACGCUAUUCGAGCGGCCGACGUCUGAUUAGCUAGUAGGUGAGGGAAAGGCUCACCUAGGCGACGAUCAGUAGCGGGUCUGAGAGGAUGAUCCGCCACACUGGGACUGAGACACGGCCCAGACUCCUACGGGAGGCAGCAGUGGGGAAUUUUGGACAAUGGGCGAAAGCCUGAUCCAGCCAUGCCGCGUGUCUGAAGAAGGCCUUCGGGUUGUAAAGGACUUUUGUCAGGGAGGAAAUCCCUAGCGUUAAUACCGCUGGGGGAUGACAGUACCUGAAGAAUAAGCACCGGCUAACUACGUGCCAGCCGCCGCCGUAAUAC